UCUACGUAAUCAAGGCGGUGUUAGUCGUGAAGGACUGACACUAAAAAGUCUUAAAAUAAAUACGUAGGAUUAUUUAAAAGUAAACGUGGGACAUCUGGAAAAGCCAAAGGGUGAGGUGUAAGGUUGUGUGAGAUUUCCAAUGUGUGGUCAACAAGUUCAGAGGUUGGGUGGCCUUACAGUGGAGCAGCUGUCACACUGUCUUUUACCAUGACGAGAUCAGGUGCCUUCAAACUCAGCAUUGUCUUCUUUCUCGCCUUCAUCCUGUGUCUACCAGAGUUUUUUCCAGAAAUAUCACAAAUUGAGUUUCUCUGUGAGCUGUUUGACCCUUGCACUCCUGAAAAUGAUGCACAGGUGUGUACUCCGGCUGACCCUCCAUGUGAGACAGAAACGAUAAAUGCCAGCAUUCAAAACAUACAUGCUGAUGGCUGGUAUCUGUGUAAGACUGAAAUGGAUCUGCAGCUUCUCUACAACAAUACCUCACAGUCAGGAGAGCAUAUAAAGGUGGUACUGAAAAUGAAGGCAGGCAAUCUCUCUGGAUGGAACAUUGAUGUGUUUGCGUUUCUCAACAACACUGAUCUGUACACUGGACCCCAAAAUGACCAGAGACUCUUCUACUGCUACCUCCCACCAGACGACAGCAAAUGUCCAGAUCUGGACAUAUCUAUGCAUGAAAACACCAGCACUCCGACACAAGACACCUCGAUUUUAAAAACCAUUACUUCUGCAAACCCAGCCGCCUCGUCGCUCAAAACAACUACACUAUCUUUCCAAGCAACAGCUUCUACGAAUGAGCUGAGGUGCCAACCAGCCAGCAGCAGCAGUUUCCUCUUUUACUACCAGGAGCAAAAUGAAACAGCAAGAUCAGCUGCAUUUCCAGCGACGCAAACAAGAAGAGGACAAAAGUUCAGAGAGCAAAUAUGCGAGGAACAGAAAGAAGAUAUACAUGCAGAGAUACAUACAGAC
rnacentral:lncRNA from 1 species